UUAUGGCCAUAUCACGCCGAAAAAUUGGUUCUCGUAAGGUCACCGAAGUUAAGCAACAUCUAGCCUGGUCAGUAACGGGAUGGGUGACCGCUUGGGAAUACCAGAUGCUGUGA